AUCUCCGCCUUUCCUCGGACAGAGUCGCCCCCUGGUGGGGUGCGUGUGUUACAGAUAUUUGAGCGUCCUACAGCGGAGGUUCAGAACGCCUCGCAGAGCAACGUUUCAAUCGGGAGACCAGGCGCACCUUUGCAAGGAUCAAUCCAGAGGACGUCGUCCAUCUUCCACCUCGUUGCCAGCGCCAGAUCGCUCUUGGAAUCACUCCCUUUUUUAACUCCAUUCUAACGCCAUGGAGCAGAAAAUAAACGAGACUCCCACCAACACAUCGCCUCAGAAGCACAUGAAGAACCGCUCCAAGUCCACGGACGAGCUCCAGCACCCCCGCAGGGCUUUCUCCUCACAGAAGUCCCUGCCAGGGAGACCAGAGCUGGAGCAUGUCAAGGAGGGCCCCGAUGACACGGAGUCCUCCACCUCCUCCACCGAGGAGCUGAAGGAGGAACAGGAGUGACUUCCCCCCGCCCUCCCCCUCCUCCUCCACCAUCACCCCCUCCUCCUCUUCCUCCUCCUCCUCCUCCCCUCCCCACCCGCUCGCCCCCCUCCCCUUACCCUCCCAGACGCCUGUUGUGGGACGGAUGACUGCUGUCCCCACACCCCCAUGACGUCAUCUCACAACACACACACACACACACACACACACACACACACACCAAGGCGCUCUACCCAGAGACAGCUGUAGCGACCUGAUCCAGAACACACACACACACACACACACACACACACACACACACACACACACACACACACACACACACACACACACACACACACACACACACACACACACACACACACACCCCAGACGACCAUACACACAUGCACACAAGCACACACAUGAACACGCACACACACUAAGACGAUCAUUAGAUGUGCCAUGAUUAUGGAUGUGCAUUGUGAUUUCAUCGUCUGGGGCAAAGUGAAUGUGAAAUGACAAUAAAGAUGUCUUGGUUGAGUGUGAAGGCCUCACUCCUCUCCCCACCUCCUGUCACUGGCGUUUCCUCGAACCGACUUCCUGUUCCACUCUGCCUCCUCCAUGGCAUCCUUGUGUUUUUAGAUAAGAUAAGAUAAGAAAGAGCUUUAUUCAUCCCGAAGGAAAUAUUUUUGCCAGAGAUUGCAAAAAAAAUGUCAAAACAUAAG
ensembl:lncRNA